UUUUAUGUGAAGUUUUUCUUUGCUGUCCACAGGUCCCCAAAGUGCUGAAAUCUUCCUCAUUACCACCUGAAAAGCAUGCUAAUCACAUAGGUCAGCUCACUUAACUAAAAAUAGACUAAAAGUGCAAGAAUUAUGUAUUUUAUCCUCAAAACAUAGCUAAAACAUGGGUAAGUUAUGGUGCUUAGACAUAUAAAUACGCCCAACAUCACAUUGCGAGGGUCCCAACGGAUGUUCACGCAUUGUGAUUUCUGCCUAGUGAUCUGAAUGUCAAAGUGAAGAAAUUCAACCAAGAGCGGGUAAAUGGCGGGAGUAACUAUGACUAUCUUAAGGUAGCCAAAUACCUCAUCAUCUAAUUAUUGACGCGUAUGAAUGGAUGGGAUUCCCACUAUCCCAGUCUACUAUCCAGUAAAAGCACAGCCAAAAGAACGGGCUUGGCAGAAUCAGCGGGCAAAGAAGACCCUCUUGAGCUUGACUCUACUCCGACUUUGUAAAAUAAAUUGAGAGGUGUAGUAUAAGUGGGAUACGAAAGGCGAAAGUGAAAUACCACUACUUUUAACGUUAUUUUACUUAUUUCGUAAAUUAGAAGUGGUGCACUACCCCUCUUUUUGUACCCAAGCCGCGCUCUGCAGGUCGAUCUGGGCGAAAGACAUUGUCAGGUGGGGAUUUUGGCUGGGGCAGCACAUCUGUUAAAAGAUAAUGUAGGUGUCCUAAGAUGAGCUCAACAAGAACAAAAAUAUCAUGUGGAACAGAAGGGUAAAAGCUUGUUUGAUUCUGAUUUACAGUACGAAUACAAACCAUAAAAGCGUGGCCUAAUGAUCCUUUAGACCUUCAGAAUUCGAAACUAGAGGUGUCAAAAAAGUGUUAACACACGGAUAACUGGCCUGUUGCAGCUAAGCGUUCAUAGCGACGUUGCUUUUUAAUUUUUUGAUUUGGGCUCUUCCGAUCAUUGUGAAGCAGAAUUCACCAAGUGUUGGACUGUUCACCCACCAAUAAGGAACGUGAGCUAGGUUUAGACCGUCCUGAGAUAGGUUAGAUUUUCCCUACUAUGACAGUAUCGCAGUAGUAAUUCAACCUAGUAUGAGAGGAAACGUUGAUUCAUACAAUUUGUUAUCGUGCUUGGUCGAAAAGCCAGUUA
rnacentral:rRNA from 1 species